rnacentral:lncRNA from 1 species
GCGUUAUUUAUUUGGGAGAGACCAGAAGGCGAUGACAUUUCCUUCAUUCGACCAAUGAGAUGAUGAAUCUUUUCGCUCUGGAGGUGCAGCAGCCCCACAGGUGCCCAGCGCACGCCAUAAUCCCACCACACAAGCACUCUCCUAUCUAACAGCAGAGGAAUGUUUUGUGCCUCUGGUGCUUUAUCAACAAAAUGCCCUACUGUAGCUGCUUGGCCUUUGGAGAUUAUUUUCUCAGGGAAGCUGUCAUCAUGCAGCUGAUUAAUUACUCUAAUAAUCAUAAUUUUUUUUCUAAUAAAACACCCUCUCUUCCCAUUCAUUAACUACAUUGCAGGUAGGUGACAGAGGUAAUUAUUCUCUGGAAGUACUUCUGAAUUAUCUUUUCUAAUCCAGCCCGUGCUGACAUUUUUGAGAGUAAAAAACAUUUUGUCUUUCUUUCAUGAGUGGGGUGACAUUUGAAUAUGCAAACAGUGUCAAAGCCUGCCCUCCGGAUGUUUUCCUGAACUAUGAUUUAUGAGGGCUGGCUAUUGUAUUUUCUAUCGUAGACCUAGAAAGGUCAUUAGACAAAGAGGCUUCCCCUGCAGGGGUCUUUUGCCAUCUUCAUCUUCUGAUAUUUUAAUUUUUUUUUUUCCUUGAACGUCGGGCAGAUGCGCUGUGAGCUCUCCCGUACGCCUCUGCUGUUUAUUAUUUAUUUACGCACGUCCCAUGCAACGCUGCAGGCGCCGAGAUCCACGCACAUCCCUUCAGACCCAGCGACCGAACGGCCCCGGUGCAGCCCACCUUGAGCCUGGGGGGCUCUGUGCCUGCGUGCUGCGGGAGCGCGUGGAGCUCGGCGGUAACUGAGUUGGGUUGGAGCCACCCAUCUGCUCAGGGCCGUAGUCCUCACCGCGGCAGGAGCGUAUCGCUCUGCAGACCCAAGGAACACGCGCCCCGCCGUGCCAUCACCACCAUCUCAGCCUCGGGGCAAAAGCAAAAGUUGAGAACUCAUUUCAGCUCGGGAAAUAUUUCUGCAUCUGGAGAAUUGAGCCGAGACACGCGAUAACAGACAACUGCUACCAGCAGCGUGACCUCCUUAGCAGCUCAUUUUGCACUCCUGGGGUAAUGUAGGAUGGCUGGUGUCCCCCUGACAGUUUGAGCAUGAAUUGCCAUUAUUAGUUUUGCAAUUUGUACGUAUUUCGUCGGCAUCCGACUUCAUCGCGCUGACUUUCUGCCUGCAAUCCCAUUUUGCCAGUUCUACCUGGUUUAAUCGAGGCUGUUCCCACGUGCUUCCCUUGCUGAGGCUGCCACGCAGCCCCUGGCUUGUGAUCCUGAAUUCCA